CCGGAGUUUGAAGGUGCAGUCGACACCAACCCCGUCUUUGUCACAGUCUGUGGAGUGGGACCUUCAAUCAGAAAGGACAGUGACUGGUUAUGCAUCUCGUUUGAAUGUGAUGUUUCUUCUGAAUUGACUUCCUCACUCUGGCAGUCUGAGCAGUCAGAUCACACCAAGGUAAACGUAAGAGGUUUGAACAAAACAAGCAAACUUCAAGGUGAUAAAUGACGACAUUCUCAUCACGUGGAGCUAACAUGAUAUGCCCAAUAACAUAUUUGGUAUAUCAAAUGUGCCAAAAUAUUUUGCAUAUUUGCCAAAUUUUAAUCAGAUAGGUUCUAAAAUUUGGGUCAUUUUAGUCAUUCUUGAUGGAAAUAAAUUUGAAAAGGUCCUAGUUUCAUUAAGAACUCUGUUUCAUUUUCAGACACCAGGUUCUCCUGUUGGGACAUCUUUGAGCUCCAACUUCAGCUCACCAUCGUCUUCUGUUUCUCUAUUUAGAACAAUCAGAGCAGGAAGCUGCAAACAAUAAACUUGGAGGCGCCCCACCCAUGACCACAACCUGUUUUUAGUGACCCAUGAACAGCCCUCACCCAACGCUGCGGCCAGAAAACAAUGGCCUUCCACCGUCUGAGCCCCUGAUCUUUUCAUCGUAUAGUGGCUCGGACACACUGGAACCUUUCCCACCCAAAAAAAGAAGUAAAAAUUAAAUAAAUAAAAAUAAUUCAGUCAUGCCAGGUUA